rnacentral:rRNA from 1 species
UAGCAAUACCUUUGUCGGCGACCGGCGCACGGGUGAGUAACACGUAUGCAAUCCACCUGUAACAGGGGGAUAACCCGGAGAAAUCCGGACUAAUACCCCAUAAUAUGGACACUCCGCAUGGAGAGUUCAUUAAAGAGAGCAAUUUUGGUUACAGACGAGCAUGCGCUCCAUUAGCCAGUUGGCGGGGUAACGGCCCACCAAGGCGACGAUCAGUAGCCGACUUGAGAGAGUGAUCGGCCACAUUGGGACUGAGACACGGUCCAGACUCC